rnacentral:rRNA from 1 species
GACGAUCAGAUACCGUCGUAGUCUUAACUAUAAAUGAUGCAAACCAGGGAUAGGACAGUGUCCAUCUCGACUCCUCCCGAACCUUGGAGAAAUUACAGUCUAUGGGUUCUGGGGGGAGUAUGGUCGCAAGGCUGAAACUUAAAGGAAUUGACGGAAGGGCACACAAAGAGUGGAACCUGCGGCUUAAUUUGACUCAACACGGGAAAACUCACCAGGUCCGGAUACACGUAUGAAAGUCAAGCUGAAAGACUUUACUCAAUGAUGUAAGUGGUGGUGCAUGGUCGUUCUUAGUUCGUGGAUUGAUUUGUCUGGUCUAUUCCGAUAACGAGCGAGACCCCGGCGUUCCUAAUAGGGGCGGCAGCCAAGCCGGUCGCAAGAUCGGCUAGCUCGCCGCCUGAAGUUAUACUUCUUAGACGUAUCAGAGCCGACAAGGUUCUUGAAAUGGGUUAAUAACAGGUCAGUCAUGCCCUUAGAUGUUCUGGGCCGCACGCGCGUUACAAUGGCACGUA